CCUACGGGAGGCAGCAGCCUACGGGAGCCAGCAGUGGGGAAUAUUGGGCAAUGGGCGAAAGCCUGACCCAGCAACGCCGCGUGAGGGAAGAAGGUCUUCGGAUUGUAAACCUCUGUCCUCAGGGACGAAAAAAAUGACGGUACCUGAGGAGGAAGCCCCGGCUAACUACGUGCCAGUAGCCGCGGUAAU
rnacentral:rRNA from 1 species